UCUGCACUUGAAGCUGAGACUGA
rnacentral:miRNA from 1 species